rnacentral:rRNA from 1 species
GAUGAACGCUGGCGGCGUGCCUAAUACAUGCAAGUCGAGCGAACAGACGAGGAGCUUGCUCCUCUGACGUUAGCGGCGGACGGGUGAGUAACACGUGGAUAACCUACCUAUAAGACUGGGAUAACUUCGGGAAACCGGAGCUAAUACCGGAUAAUAUAUUGAACCGCAUGGUUCAAUAGUGAAAGACGGUUUUGCUGUCACUUAUAGAUGGAUCCGCGCCGCAUUAGCUAGUUGGUAAGGUAACGGCUUACUAAGGCAACGAUGCGUAGCCGACCUGAGAGGGUGAUCGGCCACACUGGAACUGAGACACGGUCCAGACUCCUACGGGAGGCAGCAGUAGGGAAUCUUCCGCAAUGGGCGAAAGCCUGACGGAACAACGCCGCGUGAGUGAUGAAGGUCCUCGGAUCGUAAAACUCUGUUAUUAGGGAAGAACAAAUGUGUAAGUAACUAUGCACGUCUUGACGGUACCUAAUCAGAAAGCCACGGCUAACUACGUG